rnacentral:misc_RNA from 1 species
GGGGGAGGGGGGGGAGGAGGGGGAGGGGGGGGAGGAGGUCCACGCUCUGUUAUUUUCUUAUGUGGUGGGUCCAGGUGCAAGGCAAUAUGGAUUGGACAGGUUUUUAUGUAAUCGCCAUUUAAUGCUAAAGAAUUGUUAAGUGGGUACCCAUGGUAGGGGGGGCAAAAUUGUCAUCAUAUAUCCCAACUCUUCUCUACAACAAUCUAACCAUAAAAUAUAUAAAAUUUUGUAUGUGAGGGGAAAAAAAAUUAAAUAUUGUAGAAUAGACAAAAAGACUUAAUAUUUUAUUUUGCUAAUUGACCUUAAGACCUAAUGAAAUCCAUUUCGCACAUAAAUUCCUAAACCUAUUGAUCAGAAUAAAAUUAUGUUCAGUCCAAUUACCUAUAUUUAUCAUAUCCAAGACUAGAAUGGUAAAACCAAACUCCAUAUGCUGUCUAAAAAGAAAAACCCAAUAAAUCUCCUCUCCUUAGCAACUAUACAAUUUCUCUCUCAGUUCCUAUUCACAGCAAGGCGAAAGGAGACACUAAGACAACAGAGUACCAUAUAGCUUUAGGUGAGAGGUGAGAGGCAAGGCGAGGUGCCAUAGCCUAAAUUGCCUAAAUUUCAUACACACACACACACACUCACACACAGAUUCAGUCCAUUGCCUUGCACUCACUCACAUACUUAUGCGUGCCAUACUGAUGUGAACGCAUUCAUGUUAAUAUAUGCAUACACAAUCAGUUACUUCCUUUCAGGCUACUAUCUCUGGGCCAUUACAACACACUAAUGUUUUGAGAGGUUGUUAUAUACUUGUUAAAAAUGGAAACCACUUUGCUACACCCGAAGUAUUGAACAAAAGGAAUGAAUUAGUGCCAUGUAUCACAAGUGUUUUACACUUGGCCAAUGAAUGAAUAACAUGUACUCUACAUUGUGGUACGUGGCAGUCACUCAUUUGUUUGGUGUAAUUUGAUGUAGAUCCAAGAAUACUCAAAAGGAGAUGAGAAACGAUUAUCAAUUUUCUAUUAAUCCUCAAAAAUUUAAUAGUCAAUAAUAAAAGUCUACCAAAAUACGAACGUAUGUAUUUAUAGUAGAAUUUUCAGUACUAUUAAUAUUAGGAUUUGAAUUCCAAAUAAGAAAAUAAUAGCCAAAUACUAAUUUGAAAUCCCAAAAUAAAAUACUGUUUUCUAAAUAAUAAUAGAAUUCCUAAACAACACAAAUGUAAGCUUCCUAAUUUUAUAAUGAAUAUAUUGUCUAAGUUGAGUCUUAUUCCAAUACUACAUCACAUAUAUAUAUAUAUAUGUUGAUUGCUUUAUUCAACAAUAACUACAUCUUAAAUAAGGAAAUUUCUAAUAUUCACAAAAUAGGAAGCAAAUAAGCUUUUAAAUCCUGAUGAAAAUAAAUAAUUCUCAACCCAAAUGGGAAGAUCGUAAACAGGAAACUCUAAAACACAUAAAUUGGAGAAUUCAAAAGCAAAACCUAAACUAUGGAAAUUAAGAAUCAAAAUCAAAAUAUCUAUUGAGUUUCAUUUUCUUCUAUUCCAUUUCUCCCUAACUGGUUUGAGUUUUUAUAAUACUAAAGCAUGAAAAAUUGGAGUUAGAGACAAUGUAGCUUUAUCUUCCCUCUGUGGCAGUAAGAUAAAUGAAAAAAUAGUAUGAAAUUCAUUCUUUCUUUCAAAAUCACCAAAUUGGUUGGGACAAGUAAAGUUAGUCAUCAUUCUUUGAUUUACUGGGAACAAGAAAAUUCCCUAUGUUUGCAAUCUCAAUUGGUUUUGCCAUGCUGUCAUUAGGUUUUCUAUCUUCCUUUCUUAAGAAUAAUUUCUUACAAUUCUAACAUAGUACUUGACAAAUUUAUAUACUUUAUGCAUCAAAAUCAAAUUUUGAGUACAUUAAAGGUAAACCUUGAUAUUGAACAACAUUUAUAUUUAUAUCCUCACUUUUUCUAAAGUAAACUGAGUAGUCAACUUUUAAAGGUGUAUAUAAUUUAUUCCCUAUUAAAUUUUAGUCCUCAGAUUUUAAGUAAAAUAACAUUUUAGUUUGUCACUUUUUAUAUGAAAUAACAAUUUAAUUCUAGUCUUUGAACUUGUGGGGGAUCAAAAGUUGGUCUCAUUUGACAACUCAAGGAUUAAAUUGUUGUUUAAAGUAAAAUCUUAUGGACUAAAGUAUGUGACAUUUUAAAGGACAAAAUCGUAAUGAAAAUUAAAAAAAAAAAUUGAGACCAUUUAGUUAAUUAGAAAAAAAGAAAGCAGAUUCAACCUUUUGCUGAAUGUUAGGGAGCUUUUUUAUAAUUUAUCCUAAUAUUUAUUUUAUGGAUUCUUGUAAACCUAAACUAAUUUUGUCAAAUAAAAGUUAGGUUGAGACAAAUAUCGAAAGGAAAACUCAACAAGUGUAUAUUGAAAAUCAAAACUGAAUUAUAGGAUUGUGAUUGUCAUAUUUUAAAGCAUGGGAUUGAACUUAUAAUUAUCCAGUUUACAAAUAAAAUCAAUGGUAUGCUAUAGCCACAAAAAAGCUCUGGUAAUUAACUCGCAUGGUUGGGUCUUCUUCUACUUUUAAGGUACAAUAAGUGAGUGGGCCUCGAGUUCGAGUAUCUCCAUCUACCUAUUAUUAGAUUAUUCACCUUUAUGGUGAGUAAGAGAGGUAGUCCAUCAGUUGUACCUGGCCCAUAGUGCCUUAAUUGAAUUGAAAAAAAAAUUAUUAAAACUCAAAUAGUGAGAAAUUCAUUGCAUAAUGAAUAUAGUGAUGCAAAAUUAUAGAAAACGAAAAUUAUGAAAUUGUAAAAUCAAUAAAAUCAGAAUCUAGAUUGUGUAUUCGUAAUCGAUCUUUCUUAAUUUCCUUCCUUUUAGGACUGCAAAAAGUCAAGCAUAGUCUUGGAUUCUAUAUAUAUGCAUAAUUGUCAUAAAAUGUUGUGUACAUAGGUUGAUCUCAAGUGCUCUAUGCAUGCCUUGACAAUCAUAAUUGUGAUAAAAAUAAUACAGGGCUUUAGAGUACUUUUAUGGGACAUGUUGUGUUUACCCUUUUUCUUAUUAUUACCAUUACUUUUUUGUGAAGACUUGCAAGGAUUGUGCUGCAACCAUUUCAAUUUGUCCUUUGUGCCGAGAGCCUAUAUCGACACGCUUAAGAAUUUUUACAUGAGUCACAAGAUGCUUCUGGUUGUUGAUUAUGGAAGAAUAAAGAGAAGUGAUAUCAUGGGAAGAUGGCAUUAGCUCAUGAAACCAUGUAAUAUUACAAGUUCAUUAGGUUAUCAAGGUAUAGGUUUUUUUUUGUGGCAGAAUGUCUUUAAGCCAUAAAUUGUAUAGAAGUAUGCUAGUGGGUUUUAUUAAAAUUUUUCAACAAAUUUUUUAUGAUAUAUUUUGUACAAGUAUCAUCAAGAUGCACCCAUUGUGUUGGCAUCAAUGCCGAAUAAUUUGGGAAGUUUUAAGAGCUUUAUGGUAAAAUGCUUAAUUUGGCUAGAGGGGGUACGUCUUUCGAUGGUUAUUUUUCUAGAAAUGUUUGGAAUUAAAAUGUGAAUAAUAUAUUAGCG